rnacentral:rRNA from 1 species
ACGGAAGGCAGCAGUGGGGAAUAUUGCACAAUGGGCGAAAGCCUGAUGCAGCGACGCCGCGUGAGUGAAGAAGUAUCUCGGUAUGUAAAGCUCUAUCAGCAGGGAAGAAAAUGACGGUACCUGACUAAGAAGCCCCGGCUAACUACGUGCCAGCAGCCGCGGUAAUACGUAGGGGGCAAGCGUUAUCCGGAUUUACUGGGUGUAAAGGGAGCGUAGACGGUUUGGCAAGUCUGAAGUGAAAUGCGGGGGCUCAACUCCUGAACUGCUUUGGAAACUGUCGAACUAGAGUGCAGGAGAGGUAAGUGGAAUUCCUAGUGUAGCGGUGAAAUGCGUAGAUAUUAGGAGGAACACCAGUGGCGAAGGCGGCUUACUGGACUGUAACUGACGUUGGGGCUCGAAAGCGUGGGGAGCAAACAGGAUUAGAUACCCUGGUA